rnacentral:rRNA from 1 species
AACCGGAUUAGAUACCCUGGUAGUCCACGCCCUAAACGAUGUCAACUAGUUGUUGGGUCUUCAUUGACUUAGUAACGUAGCUAACGCGUGAAGUUGACCGCCUGGGGAGUACGGUCGCAAGAUUAAAACUCAAAGGAAUUGACGGGGACCCGCACAAGCGGUGGAUGAUGUGGAUUAAUUCGAUGCGACGCGAAAAACCUUACCUACCCUUGACAUGGUCGGAACCUGGCUGAAAGGCUGGGGUGCUCGAAAGAGAACCGAUACACAGGUGCUGCAUGGCUGUCGUCAGCUCGUAUCGUGAGAUGUUGGGUUAAGUCCCGCAACGAGCGCAACCCUUGUCCUUAGUUGCUACGCAAGAGCACUCUAAGGAGACUGCCGGUGACAAACCGGAGGAAGGUGGGGAUGACGUCAAGUCCUCAUGGCCCUUAUGGGUAGGGCUUCACACGUCAUACAAUGGUCGGAACAGAGGGCUGCCAACCCGUGAGGGGGAGCUAAUCCCAGAAAACCGAUCGUAGUCCGGAUCGUAGUCUGCAACUCGACUACGUGAAGCUGGAAUCGCUAGUAAUCGCGGAUCAGCAUGCCGCGGUGAAUACGUUCCCGGGUCUUGUACACACCGCCCGUCACACCAUGGGAGUGGGCUUUACCAGAAGUGGCUAGUCUAACCGCAAGGAGGACGGUCACCACGGUAGGAUUCAUGACUGGGGUGAAGUCGUAACAAGGUAACCGUA